rfam:Triticum aestivum genome assembly, contig: Triticum_aestivum_CS42_TGACv1_scaffold_307991_4AS
AUCUUACUCUCUCCGUCCGGAAAUACUUGUCAUCAAAAUGGAUAAAAGGAGAUGUAUCUAGACGUAUUUUAGUUCUAGAUGCUUAUCUUUUUAUCCAUUUUGAUGACAAGUAUUCUCGGACGGAGGGAGUACUAG